rnacentral:rRNA from 1 species
UACGUAGGGACCGAGCGUUGUCCGGAAUCAUUGGGCGUAAAGAGCGUGUAGGCGGCCACUUAAGUCCUGCGUGAAAUCUUGCGGCUCAACCGCAAGCGGUCGUGGGAAACUGGGUGGCUAGAGUGCGGGAGAGGAGAGUGGGAAUUCCUGGUGUAGCGGUGGAAUGCGCGAUAUCAGGAAGAACACCCGUGGCGAAGGCGGCUCUCUGGAACGCAACUGACGCUGAGACGCGAAAGCGUGGGGAGCAAACAGG